rnacentral:rRNA from 1 species
AUUGAACGCUGGCGGCAGGCUUAACACAUGCAAGUCGAGCGGAGCGAGGGUGCUUGCACCUUAGCUUAGCGGCGGACGGGUGAGUAAUGCUUAGGAAUCUGCCUAUUAGUGGGGGACAACAUUCCGAAAGGAAUGCUAAUACCGCAUACGCCCUACGGGGGAAAGCAGGGGAUCUUCGGACCUCGCGCUAAUAGAUGAGCCUAAGUCGGAUUAGCUAGUUGGUGGGGUAAAGGCCUACCAAGGCGACGAUCUGUAGCGGGUCUGUGAGGAUGAUCCGCCAAACUGGGACUGAGACACGGCCCAGACUCCUACGGGAGGUAGCAGUGGGGAAUAUUGGACAAUGGGCGGAAGCCUGAUCCAGCCAUGCCGCGUGUGUGAAGAAGGCCUUUUGGUUGUAAAGCACUUUAAGCGAGGAGGAGGCUACUUAGAUUAAUACUCUGGGAUAGUGGACGUUACUCGCAGAAUAAGCACCGGCUAACUCUGUGCCAGCAGCCGCCGUAA